GGGCCGUUAGCUCAGUUGGUAGAGCAUCUCCCUUUUAAGGAGAGGGUCGAAGGUUCAAGUCCUUCACGGCUCA
rnacentral:tRNA from 1 species